rnacentral:rRNA from 1 species
AACGAACGCUGGCGGCAUGCCUAACACAUGCAAGUCGAACGAGACCUUCGGGUCUAGUGGCGCACGGGUGCGUAACGCGUGGGAACCUGCCUUUAGGUUCGGAAUAACUCAGAGAAAUUUGAGCUAAUACCGGAUAAUGUCUUCGGACCAAAGAUUUAUCGCCUUUAGAUGGGCCCGCGUUGGAUUAGCUAGUUGGUGAGGUAAUGGCUCACCAAGGCGACGAUCCGUAACUGGUCUGAGAGGAUGAUCAGUCACACUGGAACUGAGACACGGUCCAGACUCCUACGGGAGGCAGCAGUGGGGAA